rnacentral:rRNA from 1 species
AGAGUUUGAUCCUGGCUCAGAACGAACGCUGGCGGCGCGUCUUAACCAUGCAAGUCGAGCGGCAGGCAGCAAUGCCGAGAGCGGCGGACUGGUGAGUAACACGUGGAUAACGUACCCCGAUGUCUGGGACAGCCUGUAGAAAUAGAGGGUAAUACCGGAUAGAUCACUGUUUACGUGAGGUAGACAGCGGGAAAGGAGCUUCGGCUCCGCGCCGGGAACGGUCUGCGGCCCAUCAGCUAGACGGCGGGGUAAGUGCCCGCCGUGGCGAGGACGGGUAUCCGGCCUGAGAGGGCGGACGGACACAUUGGGACUGAGAUACGGCCCAGACUCCUACGGGAGGCAGCAGGUAAGAAUAUUCCGCAAUGGGGGGAAUCCUGACGGAGCGACGCCGCGUGAACGAAGAAGGCCGGAAGGUUGUAAAGUUCUUUUCUGUUCGAGGAAUAAGUUUCGGAGGAAAUGCCGGGACGGUGACGGUAGGGCAGGAAUAAGCACCGGCUAAUUACGUGCCAGCAGCCGCGGU